rnacentral:rRNA from 1 species
AAAGCGGGAGCAAUCUCGCAAGUACAGUGGCGUACGGGUUGAGUAACACGUGGAUGAUCUGCCCUGGAGUGGGGAAUAACGCUGGGAAACCGGCGCUAAUACCGCAUAUUCCCGAGAGGGGAAAGCAGCAAUGCGCUCGAGGAGGAGUCCGCGGCCGAUUAGCUAGUUGGCAGGGUAAAAGCCUACCAAGGCUAUGAUCGGUAGCCGGCCUGAGAGGGCACACGGCCACACUGGCACUGAAACACGGGCCAGACUCCUACGGGAGGCAGCAGUGGGGAAUCUUGCACAAUGGGGGAAACCCUGAUGCAGCGACGCCGCGUGAGCGAUGAAGCCCUUCGGGGUGUAAAGCUCUUUCGGCAGGGAAGAUUAUGACGGUACCUGCAGAAGCAGCUGCGGCUAACUACGUGCCAGCAGCCGCGGUAAUACGUAGGCAGCAAGCGUUGUUCGGAGUUACUGGGCGUAAAGGGUGUGUAGGCGGCCUGUUAAGUUCCGUGUGAAAUCUCCCGGCUCAACCGGGAGGGUGCGCGGAAUACUGACGGGCUAGAGUGCGGGAUGGGAGAGUAGAAUUCCUGGUGUAGCGGUGAAAUGCGUAGAUAUCAGGAGGAAUACCGGUGGUGUAGACGGCUCUCUGGACCGUAACUGACGCUGAGACACGAAAGCGUGGGUAGCAAACAGGAUUAGAUACCCUGGUAGUCCACGCCCUAAACGAUGCAUAUUUGGUGUAGGUCAUUCAGUUGAUCUGUGCCGGAGCUAACGCGUUAAAUAUGCCGCCUGGGGAGUACAGUCGCAAGGCUGAAACUC